GUGAUGCAGGCGCAACGGGGAGCAGCUGCGAACGUGCACCAGAAUCCGAGACUGAAAGCAGGGCGUGUUGUGUUCGUGAAGGCCUUGGUGGACCUGGCCACCCAGAGGGCCGCUCUCUUGUUGGCUGACUCGUCCUGUUUGCUCGUGUCGCUCUCGGGUCCGAGCAGAGUGGUGCCAAUUACGGUGCGGCCGCCUGUCACCGAUGCUUGCUUUUUGCGCUUACAAGCCUAUGGGUAUGGGUCCGCAGGCAUUGCAUCGUCGGGUUCCGGUGUGGGUUGCAAUAUUUGGAAUGGUUUUCUGCUCCUACCCCUUCGGUGGGAUCGUUGGACGACGGAGAGCGGGGAUCGCUGAAGGUCGGAACGAACGAAUCUUCCAUCUCCACAGUUUAGGAGCUACUGGAGAAAGUAUCCGUUGGCACGCUUAGGGGUGGGAAUGGUGAAGCCAAGGAUCCGCGGCAUGCAGUAGCCAGAAAGGAGUUGUUUGUUGUCACCGCGCAACCUGCAAAGGGAGUCACUUGUACUGAUCUCAGAGCGUUUUCCUGCACUGGUUCUGCUUUCGCUUAUGCAGAUAUCGAGAUAGAGCUUGGGGGCAGGAGAGUUGGGGCUAGAGAUGGGCCACAUUGUGUGCCAUGCAGCAGGGCAUGUGCUAAACUCGAUGCUCCCCAUGGACUCGCAGUGAAAAUGGCAGCAUCUAUCAACUUGCUUAUCGUUUAUUCUAGAUCUGCAGGGAAAUUUUGGGUUAUGGCAGGCAAAGUGUUUGAUCGAAGGGGAGGGCCUGCCCAGACUCUGAGAGCUGAAGAUGUUUUUGGAGCAGACAGCUAUGAAAGUACGCUCUUGGUGUUGAUGAAGCGUGCUGUCAUUAGUUGUCAAGCACCUGGUUACUCCAUUCACGUGUCUCCUUUGUAUCUAUUUCUAGGCGAGAACACGGGUGUACGCGUGUGGAAAUUGAGGUCCUUGAUAAAGCCUACGUCCUCCGGAAGGAGUCGUAGCAAACUUAAGUCAAGAUUAGUGCAUCUGUGCAAGGAACAUGCAACAAGGUGCUAAGUGUAACGGACUGGAAGGAAUUAGAUUCUGCUGGCGUUUGCUUUGUUCCCGUCAGUGGUGAAGUUGAAGUUGAAGUUGCUAUUGCUAAAAGCACCUCACGUGCAGACCCCAGACUACCUCCACAACUCCAAGUAGUGGAUAUUCAAGCAAUCAGUCUGAAUGAUUAGAUUGCCCUGGAUUCGAAGGGGGCACUGCUCUUGCCUACCAUGAAUGAAGUGUCUGAUGAACAGAAUAUCGAAUCCCUGGGUAGGACUUUUCUGACCAUCGGACAUCUGCAGAGCACCAUGCGUGUGACCUCCUUUGCAGGGCUUCCGCUGCCUCUGUCUUUGUCCGUGGCUCAUCGAAAUUCUUUGUCACCGACUUCAGUGACAGGCAGGCUUCACUUUUUAUAUUGGCUCUUAUUUUGAAUAGAUAUCAUACGUCGAGGUGUAUGCCUUGACUGGGAAUAGUCCCAUACCGAGUAUUUGCAUCUCAUUGAUUUGCAACUGUCCAAUUUGUUUCUCCAUGAUUUUUCUUGUCUCUGUUUUGUUUUUGAUCGAUCCGCCGUGCUCUUGUCUGGUAUUUUAAUUAUCUAGUUCUCCUAAGUAAUUUAUUACCAUAGAUUUCUCUUUGUGGUUUGUAUCUCUCUUUUGACUGGUUACAGCAAUGUACAGAUUAUGUUCAAGUUUUCCUCUAUCUACGUGAUAAGUCAUAAGGUUCACGUUUAUGAAACUUUCUGCUUGUUAGUGGUUGAACCUGCAGGCGGUACAAGUGGUAUUUGUAUGUUGAUAUAUUUUGAUGGCUUCUGAAAGUUAAAGAAAGCUGUGGAUUUCCAAUAGAAUGUACUUCGUUCAUAUUCUCGUCUUUCCUGAAGAAAAGUUACAAGCCAGCAUUGAUUCUGCUACUGCGAAGGUCAGCCUUGAAGGUAAUUGACGCAGUUGAAGCAGCUUUUCGGAGUAUCACAAGCGGUGUUUAUGAAAGACCGUGUUGAUGGCCUUGUUGCUAGAUCUCCAGAUGCCGUUGCUGUACUGACGAAAGAUUAUGUGAUAGUGGUGGUACUCAAAGGCUAUACUCUUAAGCCACUCUCUUUACAAAGGCAUUGAGCAUUAAGAUUCACAAGCUUCCUAGGGCCGUACUAAAGUGUUAGAAAUUCGCUGGUAGCGGGAUAGGCAUUUGUUUUUUACGAUAAAUCGAAUGGAGGCAAAUACGCGGUGAUGUAAGAAACAAAAUUUAUGCAGGCAUCCAACUGGGAGAUCGGGAAACCGAGGAUCAUAACAUUCAUUCUUCAACCUCUUCCUCGUUUAUUAAAGAUUUGCACAUCAUCUUUUCAUGUGUGUGCAGCAAACAUGUGGAAAGUGAAGAAAAGGCGGACGUCACGGAGGAGCUAAAACUUUAGUUCAGAAUAAUGUGCGCAACUGUUGCGGAAAGUUUGUUCUGGCAAGUAUAUCAUGCAUCAAAAACAGGCGCAAAAAUAGACUUGUGAAGUAGGUGGUAGUGCAUUAGUAAACUUUGUAUGCCAUCUGAUCGUAGUUAUCUUGUUUUGUUACACCUCUCUUCUUAUUCCUCUUUUCUUACUUCUAACCAUGACCUGUUAUACUUUUAUUUAAAAAGUGAGGACAUUACUCUAUUUCUUUUAGAAGUAUUGUUGUAUUUUAAAGGUUUAAAAUUACCCAGCUUUAAAAUAACAUUUUGUUUUGUAA